rnacentral:rRNA from 1 species
GACGAACGCUGGCGGCGUGCCUAAUACAUGCAAGUAGAACGCUGAAGGAGGAGCUUGCUUCUCUGGAUGAGUUGCGAACGGGUGAGUAACGCGUAGGUAACCUGCCUGGUAGCGGGGGAUAACUAUUGGAAACGAUAGCUAAUACCGCAUAAUAGCAGUUGUUGCAUGACAACUGUUUGAAAGGUGCAAUUGCAUCACUACCAGAUGGACCUGCGUUGUAUUAGCUAGUUGGUGGGGUAACGGCUCACCAAGGCGACGAUACAUAGCCGACCUGAGAGGGUGAUCGGCCACACUGGGACUGAGACACGGCCCAGACUCCUACGGGAGGCAGCAGUAGGGAAUCUUCGGCAAUGGACGGAAGUCUGACCGAGCAACGCCGCGUGAGUGAAGAAGGUUUUCGGAUCGUAAAGCUCUGUUGUAAGAGAAGAACGAGUGUGAGAGUGGAAAGUUCACACUG